rnacentral:pre_miRNA from 1 species
CUUGAGGGGAAUGUUGUCUGGCUCGAGGACACUUUUCUUUUCUUCAGAUCAGUAAUAUUGAAGAUGUGUUAUAUAUAUAUAUAUAUACAUAUUCUUCGAUUAAUUAGUGUCGUCGGACCAGGCUUCAUUCCCCCCAAU